rnacentral:rRNA from 1 species
GCAAGACCGUGAGGUGGAGCAAAACUCAAAAACUUAGUCUCAGUUCGGAUUGUAGGCUGAAACUCGCCUACAUGAAGCUGGAGUUGCUAGUAAUCGCGAAUCAGCAUGUCGCGGUGAAUACGUUCCCGGGCCUUGUACACACCGCCCGUCACACCAUGAGAGUUGGCAAUACCCAACGUACGUGAUCUAACCCGCAAGGGAGGAAGCGUCCUAAGGUAGGGUCAGCGAUUGGGGUGAAGUCGUAACAAGGUAUC